rnacentral:ncRNA from 1 species
ACAUGAGGCUCACUUAGAGCCUCGCUAACGUGGGGAGGUUAGGCAUCCACUUGGGUAGCGACAGCAUCAUUCUGGAGAAACGGCAUCCAGAGGCAGGGUUAUCAGCCCUGGUCGGAACCGUUUC